rnacentral:rRNA from 1 species
UGAGCAAUCUGCCCUUCUCUUCGGAAUAAGCGUGGGAAACCGCGUCUAAUGCCGAAUACGACCUCCUUUCGCAUGAUCGGAGGUGGAAAGCCCCGGCGGAGAAGGAUGAGCUCGCGGCCUAUCAGCUAGUUGGUGUGGGUAAUGGCCCACCAAGGCGACGACGGGUAGCCGGCCUGAGAGGGUGACCGGCCACGCUGGGACUGAGACACGGCCCAGACUCCGUACGGGAGGCAGC